GAAUUCACUAGUGAUUCAGGCCUAACACAUGCAAGUCGAGCGGUAGAGAGAAGCUUGCUUCUCUUGAGAGCGGCGGACGGGUGAGUAAUGCCUAGGAAUCUGCCUGGUAGUGGGGGAUAACGUUCGGAAACGGACGCUAAUACCGCAUACGUCCUACGGGAGAAAGCAGGGGACCUUCGGGCCUUGCGCUAUCAGAUGAGCCUAGGUCGGAUUAGCUAGUUGGUGAGGUAAUGGCUCACCAAGGCGACGAUCCGUAACUGGUCUGAGAGGAUGAUCAGUCACACUGGAACUGAGACACGGUCCAGACUCCUACGGGAGGCAGCAGUGGGGAAUAUUGGACAAUGGGCGAAAGCCUGAUCCAGCCAUGCCGCGUGUGUGAAGAAGGUCUUCGGAUUUAAAGCAAUGAAGUUGGGAGGAAGGGCAGUUACCUAAUACGUGAUGUUUGA
rnacentral:rRNA from 1 species